rnacentral:ncRNA from 1 species
GCACGGAAGGCUAGUAGUAAUGGGCCUCCCAAGGAGUAAUUCUUGGGAAGAACUUGGCUGUAUCGGUGGACAACCUGAGUGUAAUCGAAGGUCAAUACCGAGGCAAUCCACAUUCAUAUAAACUGAACGUGGCGAGUCCGUAGAGACUAAACGCCAGGCUCCCGAUUAAAUCGGGAUGAAGAUAUAGUCCUACCCUCACAGUAAUGUGAGA